UACGGAGGGUGCAAGCGUUAUCCGGAUUCACUGGGUUUAAAGGGUGCGUAGGUGGGUUGGUAAGUCCGUGGUGAAAUCUCCGAGCUUAACUCGGAAACUGCCGUGGAUACUAUCAAUCUUGAAUACUGUGGAGGUAAGCGGAAUAUGUCAUGUAGCGGUGAAAUGCUUAGAUAUGACAUAGAACACCGAUAGCGAAGGCAGCUUGCUACACAGUCAUUGACACUGAGGCACGAAAGCGUGGGAGCAAACAGG
rnacentral:rRNA from 1 species